rnacentral:rRNA from 1 species
AUUCGUAGGGUGCGAGCGUUGUCCGGAAUUACUGGGCGUAAAGAGCUCGUAGGUGGUUUGUCGCGUCGUCUGUGAAAUUCCGGGGCUUAACUCCGGGCGUGCAGGCGAUACGGGCAUAACUUGAGUACUGUAGGGGAGACUGGAAUUCCUGGUGUAGCGGUGAAAUGCGCAGAUAUCAGGAGGAACACCGGUGGCGAAGGCGGGUCUCUGGGCAGUAACUGACGCUGAGGAGCGAAAGCAUGGGUAGCGAACGGGAUUAGAUACCCUGGUAGUCCAUGCCGUAAACGGUGGGCGCUAGGUGUAGGGGUCUUCCACGACUUCUGUGCUGUAGCUAACGCAUUAAGCGCCCCGCCUGGGGAGUACGGCCGCAAGGCUAAAACUCAAAUGAAUUGACGGGG